rnacentral:rRNA from 1 species
AUUGAACGCUGGCGGCAGGCCUAACACAUGCAAGUCGAACGAGUGGCAGACGGGUGAGUAAUGUCUGGGAAACUGCCCGAUGGAGGGGGAUAACUACUGGAAACGGUAGCUAAUACCGCAUACCAUCGGAUGUGCCCAGAUGGGAUUAGCUAGUGGGUGGGGUAAAGGCUCACCUAGGCGACGAUCCCUAGCUGGUCUGAGAGGAUGACGAGCCACACUGGAACGGAGACACGGUCCAGAUUCCUACGGGAGGCAGCAGUGGGGAAUAUUGCACAAGGGGCGCAAGCCUGAUGCAGCCAUGCCGCGUGUAUGAAGAAGGCCUUCGGGUGUUAAAGUACUUUCAGCGGGGAGGCGUUACCCGCAGAAGAAGCACCGGCUAACUCCGUGCCAGCCGCCGCGGUAAUUC